rfam:Myotis brandtii contig201694, whole genome shotgun sequence.
GGAAGUUCUUGGGUGACACACCCUGGAAUUGGGCUCCCUCCUCUCUGGUUCCAGGGUGUGUCACACAAGAACCACC